rnacentral:rRNA from 1 species
GGCUUAAUUCGACGCAACGCGAAGAACCUUACCAAGGCUUGACAUAUACAGGAAUAUGGCAGGAAAUUCCAUAGCCGCAAGGUCUGUAUAACAAGGUGGUGCAUGGUUGUCGUCAGCUCGUGUCGUGAGAUGUUGGGUUAAGUCCCGCAACGAGCGCAACCCUCGUUCUGUGUUGCCAGCAUUUAGUUGGGGACUCACAGGAGACUGCCGGGGUUAACUCGGAGGAAGGUGGGGAUGACGUCAAAUCAUCAUGCCCCUUAUGUCUUGGGCUGCACGCAUGCUACAAUGGCUGGUACAAACGGCUGCGAUACCGCAAGGUGGAGCGAAUCCGAUAAAGCCAGUCUCAGUUCGGAUUGGGGUCUGCAACUCGACCCCAUGAAGUCGGAGUUGCUAGUAAUCGUAGAUCAGCAACGCUACGGUGAAUACGUUCCCGGGGCUUGUACACACCGCCCGUCACGUCACGAAGUCGGUAACACC